rnacentral:rRNA from 1 species
UACAGAGGUCCCGAGCGUUGUUCGGAUUCAUUGGGCGUAAAGGGCGCGUAGGCGGUCAGCACAAGUCAGUUGUGAAAUCUCCGGGCUUAACUCGGAAAGGUCAACUGAUACUGUGCGACUAGAGUGCAGAAGGGGCAACUGGAAUUCUCGGUGUAGCGGUGAAAUGCGUAGAUAUCGAGAGGAACACCUGCGGCGAAGGCGGGUUGCUGGGCUGACACUGACGCUGAUGCGCGAAAGCCAGGGGAGCGAACGGG